CAGGGAGACAAACAACGAUUUUGAUGUCUGAGUAAUUUAUUCUUAGGCCGAAAUCCUGUCACCUUAGGUCGAUCGGUACCUCAGCGUUGAAGCAACAGAGUUAACAGAGAUGUUGAUGCGUGUUGUGGAGAUGAUCAGUUCCUAAACUUUGUCUAGGUCACACCCCACAAGGGUUGAGUUUUCCUGGGCCAUUAGCUCAGGUGGUUAGAGCGCACCCCUGAUAAGGGUGAGGUCCCUGGUUCAAGUCCAGGAUGGCCCAUUCGGUGUUGGGGGUUUAGCUCAUUUGGUAGAGCGCCUGCUUUGCAAGCAGGAUGUCAGGAGUUCGAGUCUCCUAACCUCCACUGACCGAACUCGAUCUCCGGUUUUGCAUUGAAAGAUGGAGAGCCACUCGAUUGUGAUGUGUGAUUUAGAUGUGUCCGCUGGAUGACCCCAGCUUCCUGUCAUUCCAAAUCGAAGUAAAUUAGUUUACUCGGAAGAAUUUGGUUGAUAAGAUGCUGGGCUCGAGUUCAGUGAUCAAGAGAUUGGUCAUUGGGUUUGAAGUCUGGCAGAACCUUGACAACUGCAUAGGUAAGUCUGGAAAAACAAAGCAUCUUACAGAUGCAUUGUUUUGAAUCUGAUCUUCUAAAAGGGAGAUUGGAUCUAGAACAACUGAAAAUUCUUUUGAGCAAGAGCCGAGACUCUUGAGCGUACUUUGAUUCGUGUCGAGCGAAUCAGAGUUUGAUCUUGUUCUUAGGAAUCAGCUAAACGUUGACGACUUAAAACUUGCAGAAUCUGCUUUCAACGGCGGUAAGCGUUCAGGAGAUUAAUU
rnacentral:tRNA from 1 species